UUACUAAAGCAAAAUCCGCGCUAAAAACGUCAAUAAAUAUCGGGCUGUUGUGAGUUUGCUGUUAUUCGUAAUGAGCGUCAAGAUGGCGCCAUAUUGGGAUAAAGGUGGUAUAUUGUGAUUGUCAUAUCUUCUUAACGAGUUCGGUGACCCGACUUUUUUGUGUGAUUUUACUUUAAGUAUAUCAUAAACUCCAUGCCUGGGAAGUUUCAGCACAUUCUCAUUUCGGGAACAAUUACUGCGGAAUUACCUUAAAAUGUCUUUGUCUAAUAGAGCAAUUAGGUGAAAAGCCGGAUUUGGGCUUUUUUACAUGCGGCCUAGCCUACUCGCAGACGUUGUGCGUCCCGAAAGAGGGAUUUGUCAGGCCUUGUCUAGCCCUCUUUUCCUUUCCCCCCACCCACAUUUGACUGAUUUAAGAAAGGGAAAAUGGUCUGCCACUCGGGAAGAAUAGCAAACUCGGGAAAUUUUCCUCACUUACUUUAAUGUUUUUUUUGAGUUAAAAGGGGACCAAACUUCAGUGGCAAACUGAGUUCAAAGUUUCUCUUCCGAGGUGAAUCAAGUGACAUGGAAUUCAUCCUGGUAUAUUUUAAGUGGGCACGUAUUUUUAGUCAAUCUAAAGGGCGUCGGUAUAGGGUUCUUUCAGUCCAUAGACUACAAAUAUUGCUUAUUCAAUAGUGUGCAGUGAUUAGAAUUUCAUAAAAUUAG